GCCCUUUAAGCACUUCAGUCGCCUUGCUGGACCUUCUCUUCACUGGAGAAGCCGAUGUCCCCAAUUAUGGCGGUGGAAGGAGGGACAAUCUUUUGGCUCUUCUUGAUGGAGCUGCCAGGGACAUCUCCAACCAGGUGUCAACAUUAGCAGGCACUUACAAAGUCCCACAGGUCUAGUCGAUCUAGUAAUCCUCUUAUCUCUGACCGGCCCUUGGAUUUGGGUUUGGAAUCAUGUUGGGACUCCAUGCUGCUGGUGGAAUCUCAGGGAUGCUGCAGAAGGUAACCCAGACCUCGAAUGCUACGACUGGAUCAUCCCUUCAGGGAGAACCUCCAGAAGGCCUUGUCUCGUGAAGACGUUUCCACUCUCGGGCCUGAUACACGAGCUGAGGAACAAGAGGAGAGAUAUUGAGCAUCAGCAGAGGAACUUUCCUGGGCGCUUCUACGGAGAGAAAUGUCGAUGGAAGUUCUCCGUCAUGCAGGUCACGCUUGUCCCAAAGUCCAGGCAAGUGGACUUUCUUGUCUCCCUUUGAAGACGUUUCUCUUCUCCUCCAGGAAGCUUCUUCAGCUCUGACCGGAUGGUGGGGAACGGAAGGAUGGGUCCCCCUUGCAGGCCGCUGGUCACGGGCCUUCUUCCAGGGAGUCCUUGAGGCCACCCGGAGGUUUGCCUGGGUCCUCAGGGUCACUCGAGUGGGGCAAAGGGGCACGGAGGCACCCAGGGCAGAAGACAUCCUGUAGCCAAGAACGCAGGCCCCCUUUUCAGACUUACGACCGUGAAAGCAUCCCCUCGGCCGUGUGAUCAGAGUCUGGGCUCUUGGGAGCUCAUAUUUAUGACGGUGGCAGUGUCCCAGGGUCCCCUGAUCAUCUUUGGCAACCUUCUGAGGAGCAAGGUCGGGGGGGAGCCAAAUUCACUGAACGGCUAUGGCAAGGAAGGUCGUAAAAUGGGGCAAAAGUCACUUAACACCCAUCUCACUUAGCGACAGAAAUUUGGGGCUCAGUUCUGGUUGUAAGUCGAGGACCCCCUGUAGAAGGAAACCACUAAAAGAUCUGGUUCAUCCUAAAUAUACGACCAGGGCAUUGGCUUAAGGACUGCUGCAUUCGGUUAGAGGUUCCAUUAGGGUCAUAUGUCGAGGAUACUGCAUGGCAAAUGUUAGUGUAAAUGAUAGUUAGAAGUAUACAAAACUGCCCACAACACAAAGUGGAAAUAGAACUUGGGGUCAUCAAGCCUUCCUUCCUUCCUUCCUUCCUUCCUUCCUUCCUUCCUUCCUUCCUUCCUUCCUU